AUUCUGUGCUGCGGGCAUUUCUUUAACAUCUCCUUAUACCUUUCCCAAGUAUCAUAUAAUGAUUCGGACUUCAAUUGACGAAAAGAAGAGAUAUCACUUCUGAGUUU